GACGAACGCUGGCGGCGUGCUUAACACAUGCAAGUCGAACGGAAAGGCCCUGCUUUUGUGGGGUGCUCGAGUGGCGAACGGGUGAGUAACACGUGAGUAACCUGCCCUUGACUUUGGGAUAACUUCAGGAAACUGGGGCUAAUACCGGAUAGGAGCUCCUGCUGCAUGGUGGGGGUUGGAAAGUUUCGGCGGUUGGGGAUGGACUCGCGGCUUAUCAGCUUGUUGGUGGGGUAGUGGCUUACCAAGGCUUUGACGGGUAGCCGGCCUGAGAGGGUGACCGGCCACAUUGGGACUGAGAUACGGCCCAGACUCCUACGGGAGGCAGCAGUGGGGAAUAUUGCACAAUGGGCGGAAGCCUGAUGCAGCAACGCCGCGUGCGGGAUGACGGCCUUCGGGUUGUAAACCGCUUUCGCCUGUGACGAAGCGUGAGUGACGGUAAUGGGUAAAGAAGCACCGGCUCACUACGUGC
rnacentral:rRNA from 1 species